rnacentral:rRNA from 1 species
UUUCAUUGAAGCUUCGGCAGAUUUGGCUUAAUCCUAGUGGCGGAUGGGUGAGUAACGCGUGGGUAACCUGCCUUGUACAGGGGGAUAACAGUUAGAAAUGACUGCUAAUACCGCAUAAGCGCACAGGACCGCAUGGUCCGGUGUGAAAAACUCCGGUGGUAUAAGAUGGACCCGCGUUGGAUUAGCUUGUUGGCAGGGUAACGGCCUACCAAGGCGACGAUCCAUAGCCGGCCUGAGAGGAUGAACGGCCACAUUGGAACUGAGACACGGUCCAAACUCC